CCUGGUUCCCUCUGAAACCAGCUGGGUAACCUCCGCCAAGCCACUGAGCCUCUCUGAGCCUCCAGGUUUCCUCUCUCAAGUGGGGAAAACUGUCCCCAUGCUGCCCUCUCUCCAGACUGCGUUCCAGGAGAUAAUAGGGAAAGUGCUUAUAAAUCGUGAAGUGCUCUUCGUAAGCCAGAGGUUAUUACAGAAUGUUGAGCAGAAUUUGGAAUUAAAGAAAAUCAUAAAAAUGCAAAUUUUAUUUUAAACAAUAUUAUUUUAUGAAUAUUACUUUUUAAGGUGUACAGUAGGAAUGCUGUUAUGUGGGAGAGGUUCUUCAUUUUUCUGAGAUACAUCGCAAAGUGUUAGAGAAGAGCCAGGAUAGGCUUAAACUGAAGACGUCACUUCACAGAGGAGGAGUCUGGCCUGGGAGUGAGAGGCAUGAGGUCAGAACUGGGGCUGGAGCUGGGCUUGGAAGGCCAGGCGCUCACCCCUGCACCGCACUUCCUGCCCGGUCCCUUUGUCUUCUGAGUCCCAUCAGGCAGGCCACACAUACACACGUGAAGAACGGUUAGCAGUGUUUAUUCACCAGAACAUCGUGGGCAGGUGGGAACCGUGUUAGCUGGAUUUCAGCUGGGGGAGGAAAGAGAGGGAGGGAGGAGAAGGAGGGAGAGAGAGAGGGAGAGAGGAGCUCUUUUCUUUG